UAGCGAACUAUGAGUUUGAUGUGGUAUAUGGUAGGGGAGUGAACAAACUGAACCAAGUUUGAUGUAAUCUUAGUGCAAGUUUAUAAUCUUAAAUGACAGAGAUGUUAACCAGAAUUAAGAAUGAUGUAAAAGAACUAAUAUGAAAUUAAAUUAAAAUAGCUGAGUAAUGUGGGUUGCCUGAUAUGUAGAUGGAAAAAUGAAAAAAUGAACAGACUGAAUUUAAGCUAAUGGAUUUAUGUUUGCAGUACCCUAUUGUUUAGUAUAGUCUAAUAAAAUUAUUUUGAAAGAGAAAAAGGUAACAUCAAAAUAAAAAAGUUAGUAAAAUGUGUAGCAGACCAAAGGAGUUGACUGUAGUAGUUAUUGAAUGAGAUGAAUGAAGCGAAGGUGACAUAACAGGCAACAAAACAAAGUGAUUAUGUGGUAAGAGAGAGAACAUUCCAAAGAGAGACAAGUAAACCAGAUCAAGAUUUAAGGGCUAUUAUCAGUAAGAAAAUGAGAGUCUAAAUAAAUUAAGAUAAAAAUUUUGUGAUAUAAGAGCUGUAGGACCCGAAAUGACAGAAACAUGAGGUAAGACAAGAAAAAACACACAACUAUAGGAAUAGAAAAUAAAUGUAAAAGAAGAUGGGAAAUAAAAGAAAGAGGAAAGUAAGAAAAAGUAAAGAAGAAGAAAUGGAAAGGAGGAAAAGAAAAAAGAAAAGAAGGAAAAGAAGAGAAGAAAGAGGAAAAGAAAAACAGAAAAGAAGAAUCGAAACUAUGGUAGGAAUCGGAUAAAGUAGGAGAAAAGAGUGAAGGUAAAGAGAAGGUGCAAGUCUAGAUGUGUGUUAAUGGGUGAUUAG
rnacentral:lncRNA from 1 species